CCUACGGGGGGCAGCAGUGAGGAAUAUUGGUCAAUGGGCGCGAGCCUGAACCAGCCACGUAGCGUGAAGGAUGAAUGCCCUCCGGGUUGUAAACUUCUUUUAUAAAGGAAUAAAGUGAGUCUAGUGUUCCUUUUUGUAUGUACUUUAUGAAUAAGGAUCGGCUAACUCCGUUCCAGCAGCCGCGGUAAUACGGAGGAUCCGAGCUUUAUCCGGAUUUAUUUGGUUUAAAGGGAGCGUAGAUGGGUUGUUAAGUCAGUUGUGAAAGUUUGCGGCUCAACGGUAAAAUUGCAAUUGAUACUGGCAGUCUUGAGUACAGUUGAGGUAGGUGGAAUUCGUGGUGUAGCGGUGAAAUGCUUAGAUAUCACGAAGAACUCCGAUUGCGAAGGCAGCUUACUAAACUGCCACUGACAUUGAGGCUCGAAAGUGUGGGUAGCAAACAGGAUUAGAUACCCGAGUAGUC
rnacentral:rRNA from 1 species